rnacentral:rRNA from 1 species
AUGGCAUCCGUGGCUCGGACCACCGUGCUGCUCCUCCUCCUGGUCGCCGUCGUCAUUCUCGUGCCCACUGCAUCGGCGGCCGGCAGGAUGCUGGCCAAUCAGGUGGCCGGUGCCGGGGAACGGGGCGAAGCCACCAACGCGGCCCGCAUCCUUGUUGAUGCGGACGUCCGCGCCAGUGCCGACAUCCUCGGCAUCCGCACUGAGAGUGCCGUCCAUGCCAAAGGCGGCGGCAAGGCUGAUAGCCGCAGCAACAUCAACACCGUCGACGCAGGCAGCCUCGGCGUCCACACCCAAAUCCGCGGAAAAGCCGACAGCCGUGGCUUCCGCGGGCCAUUUAACCCAUGA